UUUUUUUGAUGAACCCCAUGCGUGUCAUCUGAGCCUGGCUCCCUUGUCACAGCCCCAGGUAGUGUUCUUGUCCAUUUCUGAUCUAAAGCGUUGUUCUUUGAAAA